rnacentral:tRNA from 1 species
GCCUGGGGGGCUCAGAGGUUGAGCAUCUGCUUUUGGCUCAGGGCAUGAUCCCGAAGUCCUGGGAUCAAGUCCCACCUCGGGCU